AUUUUUUUUCAGAGAGAUGGCGCGUCGGUCAUGAAGAUAGGGAAAAAUCAGGCCGCGAAGUUGUUUUCAAGGCGGGGCUUUGUGCGUCGCCUGGCAACGGACUGGUUUUUCCACAGGCCGUGUGAGGUUGUCAACAUGGUCUCACUACAUAUGUAUUAAGGUCAUGCAAAACCAUUCGUCAGCCACAUUUACAGGACAAUCAUUAACGCACAUUUUGUGGUACAAAACAGAUUUUCUGUUUCGACAGUCUCAUGAGAUCUCGUGGCACGACUUUGAAUGGAUGGAAAUGGAGUCAUGCAUGCCAAAUUUUAUUUCCCUAACUUGUAAAAUGAUGAAACACCACACGAAAAAUGAGUUCCGUCUCCCUUUUUACUACCCAAAAACCGCUUCCGUGUUUAACACAGAGCUUACGGGGAAACGGCUUUAGCGAAAAUUACUGCCGUUAGUUAUCUUUAAUCCCCUCCUCUUCCGUUUUUGUCUUAUAUUAAAGAGCUAAUUCUCUUCUACAAACCCAGUAAAAGAUUUUUGGAAGGGGGAAUUAGUUUUAAAGUUAUUAGAUUUUAUAUACAGCCCAUAUUUCCUGAAAUUUUCUAAAUAUUGGUCUUAUAGUUUUUCAUUUACAUGUUUAAAACCAUAAAUGAAGUUGGUGCGCUAA